AAGAGAGUGAAGCUUUGAAGACCGGUGAAAGGCCAAUAAGAAAAGGUUUACCCAGAAUGGCGUUCUUUGAGCCCAAAGCUAGACGCGCCGCGAAACUCCCGGUUCUUCUCAGAGCCAAGAGAGCAGCAAAGAUUGCCCCCAAGACUCCCAAAAAAGAGACAGAAGCAGAAGAAGAGCCAGAGACCAAAAAGCAGGAAGAAGCCGCAGAAUCUGGAGAAG